rnacentral:rRNA from 2 species
GAGCACGCCGCGUGAGUGAAGAAGGGUUUCGGCUCGUAAAACUCUGUUGUUAAAGAAGAACAUAUCUUGAGAGUAACUGUUCAGGUAUUGACGGUAUUUAACCAGAAAGCCACGGCUAACUACGUGCCAGCAGCCGCGGUAAUACGUAGGUGGCAAGCGUUGUCCGGAUUUAUUGGGCGUAAAGCGAGCGCAGGCGGUUUUUUAAGUCUGAUGUGAAAGCCUUCGGCUCAACCGAAGAAGUGCAUCGGAAACUGGGAAACUUGAGUGCAGAAGAGGACAGUGGAACUCCAUGUGGGGUGGAAAG